rnacentral:rRNA from 1 species
UACGUAGGUGGCAAGCGUUGUCCGGAUUUACUGGGCGUAAAGAGCGCGCGGGCGGUCGUUCAAGUCGCGUGUGAAAGCCCCCGGCUCAACUGGGGAGGGUCACGCGAUACUGAUCGACUCGAAGGCAGGAGAGGGUAGUGGAAUUCCCGGUGUAGUGGUGAAAUGCGUAGAUAUCUGGAGGAACACCGGUGGCGAAGGCGGCAUCCUGGACCGACACUGACGCUGAGGCGCGAAAGCUAGGGUAGCAAACGGG